rnacentral:rRNA from 1 species
CCCUACGGGUUGUAAACUGCUUUGCAGGGAUAAACCUCAUACGUGUAUGAGGUUGAAUGUACUCUGAGAAUAAGGAUCGGCUAACUCCGUGC